rnacentral:rRNA from 1 species
UACGGGGGGAGCAAGCGUUGUUCGGAUUUACUGGGCGUAAAGGGCGCGUAGGCGGUCAGCACAAGUCAGUUGUGAAAUCUCCGGGCUUAACUCGGAAAGGUCAACUGAUACUGUGCGACUAGAGUGCAGAAGGGGCAACUGGAAUUCUUGGUGUAGCGGUGAAACGCGUAGAUAUCAAGAGGAACACCUGCGGCGAAGGCGGGUUGCUGGGCUGACACUGACGCUGAAGCGCGAAGGCCAGGGGAGCAAACGGG